rnacentral:lncRNA from 13 species
GUAACGUGAUAUUUUCUAGCUCUGUCUUUAAAUGGAAUUAAACUUCUUAGGUGGAAUCUUUGAUUUAGCUUUGAGCAGAUUUGUUAUAACUCUGAGGAUUUUUUUUUCUAGCUGAUUUUUCUUAAGUUCUCAUGUUGAGGGUUCCUUUGGACUCAAAGGCCUGAGCUCUCUUCAAAUACGCACCAAGAGAAAUCUUGCCACUGAUGACACAAAAUCACCUUGAACUGAAAUUUCGUAGCUAUCUGUCUGUGACACAACAGUGAGAUCCUUUGAGGAAGAGGAUUUUGUCCUGUUUUGUUCAUUCAAGUCAGCCCCAAUCCUGCUCUACUAGAUGACCCAUUCAAAUCUUCAAAGUCUCACUCUGUUACCUGGCUGGAAUGCAGUGGUGCAAUCUCAGCUUGUAGCAACCUCUGCCUACUGGGUUCAAGAGAUUCUCCUGCCUUAGCCUCCCGAGUAGCUGGGACUACAGGUGUAUACCAUCACACUCA